rnacentral:rRNA from 1 species
UGCGAGUCGAGAGGGUUCGGCCCUCGGCAGACUGCUCAGUAACACGUGGAUAACCUACCCUUAGGUGGAGGAUAAUCUCGGGAAACUGAGAAUAAUACUCCAUAGAUCUAGGCUGCUGGAAUGCAUCUAGAUUAAAAGCUCCGGCGCCUAAGGAUGGGUCUGCGGACUAUCAGGUUGUAGUCAGGGUAAAGACCUGACUAGCCUACGACGGAUAUGGGUUGUGAGAGCAAUAGCCCAGAGACGAUAUCUGAGACACGAUAUCGGGCCCUACGGGGCGCAGCAGGCGCGAAAUCUUCACACUGUGCGAAAGCGCGAUGAGGGAAUCCCAAGUGUUUGCUCGUAAGAGUAAACUGUUUCUUUGUUUAAAACGCAGAGAGAGUAAGGGCUGGGUAAGACGGGUGCCAGCCGCCGCGGUAAUACCUGCAGCUCAAGUGGUGAUCAUUAUUAUUGGGCCUAAAACGUCCGUAGCCGGUUUAGUAAACGCCUGGGUAAAUCGUGUAGCUUAACUAUACGACUUCCGGGUAGACUGCUAGACUUGAGACCGGGAGAGGCUAGAGGUACUCCUGGGGUAGAGGUGAAAUUCUGUAAUCCUAGGGGGACCACCAGUGGCGAAGGCGUCUAGCUAGAACGGGUCUAACGGUGAGGGACGAAGCCCUGGGGCACAAACCGGAUUAGAUACCCGGGUAGUCCAGGGUGUAAACGCUGCUUGCUUGAUGUUAGUUGGGCUCCGAG